UACGGGGGGAGCAAGCGUUGUUCGGAUUUACGGGGCGUAAAGGGCGCGUAGGCGGUCGUGACAAGUCACUUGUGAAAUCUCCGGGCUUAACUCGGAACGGUCAAGUGAUACUGUCGGACUAGAGUACAGAAGGGGCAACUGGAAUUCUCGGUGUAGCGGUGAAAUGCGUAGAUAUCGAGAGGAACACCUGCGGCGAAGGCGGGUUGCUGGGCUGAUACUGACGCUGAGGCGCGAAAGCCAGGGGAGCGAACGGG
rnacentral:rRNA from 1 species